CAGGAUCCACCCCUUCCCAGACUUCAUUUAAGGGUUGGCAGGGUAGGUGAGAACAUCUCUUGCAGGAGAUCCCUGCCUACCUGAGGCCUUCCAAAGGUACUUUCUCUGAUUCCAGAAAACUAAGUGAAGGCACAGGAGUGUUUUCUUGCAAGGAGCAAAAAGGCUGUGUACUCAAAUCAAACUUUCUCAAGCACAUCUGACAUCCCUUUGGAUUCCCACAGGGAACAGUCCCAGUGGGGCUGCUCUGCCACCUGGGCGAGGAGCCAAUGACCUGAGUGAUUCUGCAGCCUCGUAACCCAAAUGUUUUUCCACCAGUGAAGAGAGGAAGCAGGGGGCUGCUUCAAUUAAUGCUGUGCAGUGGGGAUAAGUGAUGCAUUUAAAGGAUUAACUCUUCCUUUUCCUUCGCCUAUCCUCUCUUUAGCAUGACAGCCAACAGAGAGUGUGAUAGAGCAAUCUCUAUCUUGUAUGUGACCACAAGAGAUUAAUUAAACAGUAAGCCCUAAUUACCGAGGCUAAGGCUGACCGACUUACCGUGCCUUGUAAAAUAGCUGAAUACUUAAUUUACGCUCCAGUGUGGACAUAACUUUCACCAUUAGCUGAAUAAACAACGAGCACCCAAGCUAAGCGGACCGCUUCCCUAAUAGAUGCACCAUUAUAAAUGGAGCUCUCCGUUGGUGUGGGCUCACUGGGGCUGCCUCCCAGCUACAAAGGGUUUUCGUGGGAAGGGGGAGCUGCUUUGCAGUGCGCCAACCUGCCCUAAGCCUGGGGGAUUCCCUCUCUGUCAGUACUCUUCAGCUUUCAGGCUGCUUAUCAAAGCCGUCAUCAUUUGCAUUUCACUGCAGGUUUGGGGGGAGAAAAAAAGGGAAGAUACCGAAAGGCAUAAAACAAAACCAAGCCCCAACUCCCAGUGCAAUGCGGUGGAAGUAGGGCACAUAGCUCCUUUUCUCUUUAUUUUUUUUCUCCCUUUCAAUAUCUGCCAUAAUAACAGUAAUAGAUUCUGAGAAGUGCAAGUUAAUCUGUAGCUCCAGAGCUUUUUAUUGUGUUUCUCCCUUUUUGUGCGUGUUAACCUUUCAAAUCUUAGAAGGCUGUGGAGUGUGCAUUGCUAUUUUAAUUCCUAUUAUUCUUGCUUGCUGCCUGCUUCUCAACUGGGUCCUAGAUAGAGUAAGUACAUGCACCCAUUAACCCAUAUGUCUCAUUCAGCCCUUCUCCAAACCUUGGGUCUGUCUCUUAAAUUUGUGUUAUGUGUAUUGUAAGUCCCAGGUGAGCUUAAAGCUUCAGUGCACUGCAAAGGAGGAGAGAGCAUCUCAAUACCACACAGAGAGAACUGAAACAGGAAAAAAGUUAGAAGGCCUUAAAACCACAUUGAAUCCAGAAGACAAAGAAUGAGCUGAUGAAAGGAUUCGAAGACAUCUCCAGGAGCACCGUUGCAAGAGGAUGGGAUGUGUGAGAAUGCAGACUGUCACCACAACUGCCACCCUGCAACUUGGGGAGAAGAUGAAUUUGUGGUGUGUUACUCUCAAGGUCUUCAGAACUUGAGAAGACCUCGGUAGUCUGAGCCCUCCUUCACUUUGUCUUCACACAGAACACGGAGCCAUUUCCCUGUGUGUUCCACAUUCCUUUAUCCAUCUUUACUCUCUGUGCCUGAAUAUCUUCUCUUGCCCCAUCAUGGGCAAGAGGUGGUGCCCCAUCAGCACCACCUUUUCAUCCUUGACCAAUCUGUAUUAAAUAUGGACGAUUAAAUUAAUCUGG
ensembl:lncRNA